rnacentral:rRNA from 1 species
UCGAAUGUGGGGCCAGCGGCUGUGGUAAUACGAAGGUGGCAAGGGUGGUUCGGAUGUACGGGCGGGACAUGGAGCGUAGGCGGUUGGGUAAGCCCUCCGUGAAAUCUCCGGGCCUAACCCGGAAAGUGCGGAGGGGACUGCUCGGGUAGAGGAUGGGAGAGGAGCGCGGAAUUCCCGGUGUAGCGGUGAAAUGCGUAGAGAUCGGGAGGAAGGCCGGUGGCGAAGGCGGCGCUCUGGAACAUUUCUGACGCUGAGGCUCGAAAGCGUGGGGAGCAAACAGGAUUAGAUACCCUAGUAGUC